rnacentral:rRNA from 1 species
GUUUACAACUAUAACACCUAAAAAAACCAAUAAUCUAAUUUCACCAAAGAUACUAAGCAGGGUCGGGCCUGGUUAGUACUUGGUUGGGAGACCGCCUGGGAAUACCGGGUGCUGUAGGCU